rnacentral:tRNA from 1 species
AAAGCUUUAAGUUAAUAAAACUAUUAGCCUUCAAAGCUAAAAUUACAGUGAUAAUUGUAAGCUUUG